UACGAAGGGUGCAAGCGUUACUCGGAAUUACUGGGCGUAAAGCGUGCGUAGGUGGUUCGUUAAGUCUGAUGUGAAAGCCCUGGGCUCAACCUGGGAAUGGCAUUGGAUACUGGCGACCUAGAGUGCGGUAGAGGGGUGUGGAAUUCCCGGUGUAGCAGUGAAAUGCGUAGAUAUCGGGGAGGAACAUCUGUGGCGAAGGCGACACCCUGGACCAGCACUGACACUGAGGCACGAAAGCGUGGGGAGCAAACAGG
rnacentral:rRNA from 1 species